CCUGGGGGCGCUCUUUGCUUACGUGGACUCAAAGCGCACUUACGAGGACGCGUUUUUCUGCCAUGUAGGCAAAGCGCGCCCCCAGGG
rfam:Gossypium raimondii chromosome 5, whole genome shotgun sequence.